rnacentral:rRNA from 1 species
ACUAGAAUGCGGGAGAGGGAGGUAGAAUUCCAUGUGUAGCAGUGAAAUGCGUAGAUAUAUGGAGGAAUACCAGUGGCGAAGGCGGCCUCCUGGCUCGACAUUGACGCUGAGGUGCGAAAGCGUGGGGAGCAAACGGGAUUAGAUACCCCGGUAGUCCACGCCGUAAACGAUGUCUACUAGCUGUAGGGGUACUUGAGACCUUUGUAGCGCAGCUAACGCAAUAAGUAGACCGCCUGGGGAGUACGGCCGCAAGGUUAAAACUCAAAUGAAUUGACGGGGGCCCGCACAAGCAGUGGAGCAUGUGGUUUAAUUCGAUGCAACGCGAAGAACCUUACCAGGCCUUGACAUCCCCGGAACUUUCUAGAGAUAGAUUGGUGCCUUCGGGAACCGGGUGACAGGUGCUGCAUGGCUGUCGUCAGCUCGUGUCGUGAGAUGUUGGGUUAAGUCCCGUAACGAGCGCAACCCUUGUCCUUAGUUGCCAGCACAUAAUGGUGGGAACUCUAAGGAGACUGCCGGUGACAAACCGGAGGAAGGUGGGGACGACGUCAAGUCAUCAUGGCCCUUACGGCCUGGGCUACACACGUGCUACAAUGGCUAGGACAGACGGCUGCAAACCAGCGAUGGGGAGCUAAUCCGACAAACCUAGUCGUAGUCCGGAUCGGAGUCUGCAACUCGACUCCGUGAAGUCGGAAUUGCUAGUAAUCGCGAAUCAGAAUGUCGCGGUGAAUACGUUCCCGGGCCUUGUACACACCGCCCGUCACACCAUGGGAGUGGGUUGCUCCAGAAGUGGUUAGUCUAACCUUCGGGAGGACGAUCACCACGGAGUGAUUCAUGACUGGGGUGAAGUCGUAACAAGGUAACCGU